rnacentral:misc_RNA from 1 species
UUCCGUAGGUGAACCUGCGGAAGGAUCAUUAUAAAUGGCUCCGCGUUAGGAGCACUUAAUAUCCUACCUUUGUGAUUGUGUUUGAAAUAAUUUUUUUUAAAAUUAUUGAAUGUCUUCCUGUGAAUUAGAGUUUUCGACCAAAGAUUCGCAGGGAUAGUCAAUAUUUUAAAAAGACCUUUUUUAAAUUAAUUUGUAUUCAUUGUCUAAAUUAUUUUAUAAUAUAAAACAACUUUUGACAAUGGAUCUCUUGUCUCGCACGAUGAAGAACGCAGCAAAAUGCGAUAAGUAGUGUGAUUGCAGAUACGUGAAUCAUCGAAUCUUCGAACGCAUAUGCACUUUUAGUUUACUAAAAAGUAUGUCGUUUGAGUAUCAGUAAAUAUUCUCAUAAAACAUUGUUUAUGGUUAUGAGUGUUUACAACGAUACAAGUUGUUCACUUUAAAUUUUUAAAAUUGAAUUUUUCUAAUUUUAAAUAAAAUUGGAUAAAAUUUCCGUAAAAAGAAUAACCUAACAAUUUAAUUUAAAUUAGAAACUUCAAAAAAAAAGGAAAUUAAUAAUAACUUGAUCUCAAAUCAGAUAAGAGUACCGCUGAACUAAGCAUAUCAAUAAGCGGAGGAAAAGAAACUAACAAGAUUCCUUAGUAACGGCGAGUGAAGCGGAAGAGCUCAAAUUUGAAUCUUCAAGUUUCCUUGACGAAUUGUAGUUUAAAGAAGUGUUUCUGUUGAAGUUUGGUAAAGUUCUUUGGAAUAGACAUCAUGAGGGUAGAAUCCCGUAUUUGACCAUUAUUUCAGCUGUGUGAUACACUUCAAAGAGUCGGAUUGUUUGGGAUGCAGUCAAAAUGGUGGUAAAUUUCAUCUAAAGCUAAUAUUGCGAGAGACCGAUAGCGAACAAGUACGUGAGGAAGAUGAAAAGAACUUGAAAAGAGAGUUAACAGUACUGAAAUUGUCAAAGGAAGCGUUGACACCAGUGUUGUUUCUCGAAAAUCAAUUAAAAGAGUUGGAUUUGUGUUGUAUUGACUUAACAGCUUCUUCACUCUUUUCCUGCUUUUUAAUGCACUUUCGUUUAACAAGUCAACAUCAGUUUCUUUGUUGUAAAAGGUCAUUGAAGUGCUUUCUUUCGGAGAAAGUGUUUAUAGCCUUUGAUCUCUGCAAUCGGAGAGACUGAGGUCUGCAGCGUAGAUCUUCGGUUAGAUACAUUUGUGCUAAGUUAUAACUUUUCAUAGACAACUUGUGACUAUGUUUAGUCAUGUAGCUACUCGCUUAUGCUAUUUUACCUAGCUUAGAUGUG